CACCUCUUGACUAACCAUAAAAGGCCCAGCCUGCCCAGUGAAAUUAUUUUCAACGGCCGCGGUAUCCUAACCGUGCGAAGGUAGCACAACCACUUGUCCUUUAAAUGUGGACUAGAAUGAAUGGCACCACGAGGACUAUACUGUCUCCUUUCUACAAUCAAUGAAACUGAUCUUCCCGUGAAAAAGCGGGAAUUAUUAUAUAAGACGAGAAGACCCCAUGAAGCUUUAAACUAAAUACCACCAACUACCUAAAUAUCAAUUUAACACAGUAAACUGGCUAUUUAUUUUAGGUUGGGGUGACCGCGGAGUAAAAUAAAACCUCCACAAUGAAAGGACCUAGCUCCCUAAUUCAAGAACAACACCUCUAAAAAUCAAAUUACUGACAUUAAUUGACCCAAACCUUUGAUCAAUGAACCAAGUUACUCUGGGGAUAACAGCGCAAUCUAUUUCAAGAGCCCCUAUCGACAAAUAGGUUUACGACCUCGAUGUUGGAUCAGGAUAUCCCAGUGGUGCAACCGCUACUAAAGGUUCGUUUGUUCAACGAUUAAAACCCU
rnacentral:rRNA from 1 species